rnacentral:rRNA from 1 species
CCCUUAGAUGUUCUGGGCCGCACGCGCGCUACACUGAUGCAUUCAACGAGUUUCUUCCUGGUCCGAGAGGAAUGGGUAACCUUUUGAAAGUGCAUCGUGAUAGGGAUAGACUAUUGCAAUUAUUGGUCUUCAACGAGGAAUUCCUAGUAGACGUAGUUCAUCAGACUGCAUCGAUUACGUCCCUGCCCUUUGUACACACCGCCCGUCGCUCCUACCGAUUGAAUGCUCAGGUGAGCCACUCGGACUUUCAUCAUGCUGGUUUCCAGUUUUGAUGAAGGAAAGUCUUGCGAACCUUAUCAUUUAGAGGAAGGAGAAGUCGUAACA